AUUGAACGCUGGCGGCAGGCUUAACACAUGCAAGUCGAGCGAGCGGCGGCCGGGAGAGUAGUGUGUGGGAACCUGCCCUAUGGAGGGGGAUAACUAGUAGAAACGGUAGCUAAUACCGCAUACCAUCAUAUGUGCUUAUAUGGGAUUAUCUAGUAGGUGGGGUAAUGGCUCACUUAGGCGAAGAUCUCUAGCUGGUCUGCGAGGAUGAACAGCCACACUGGAACUGAGACACGGUCCAGACUCCUGCGGGAGGCAGCAGUGGGGAAUAUUGCACAAUGGGCGCAAGCCUGAUGCAGCCAUGCCGCGUGAGGGAAGAAGGCCUUCGGGUUGUAAAGCACUUACAGCAAGGAGGCGUUACUCGCAGAGGAAGCACCGGCUAACUCCGUGCCAGCAGCCGCGGUAAUUC
rnacentral:rRNA from 1 species